rnacentral:rRNA from 1 species
GACGAACGCUGGCGGCGUGCUUAACACAUGCAAGUCGAACGGAAAGGCCCUGCUUUUGUGGGGUGCUCGAGUGGCGAACGGGUGAGUAACACGUGAGUAACCUGCCCUUUACUUUGGGAUAACUUCAGGAAACUGGGGCUAAUACCGGAUAGGAGCUCCUGCUGCAUGGUGGGUGUUGGAAAGUUUCGGCGGUUGGGGAUGGACUCGCGGCUUAUCAGCUUGUUGGUGGGUAGUGGCUUACCAAGGCUUUGACGGGUAGCCGGCCUGAGAGGGUGACCGGCCACAUUGGGACUGAGAUACGGCCCAGACUCCUAAGGGAGGCAGCAGUGGGGAAUAUUGCACAAUGGGCGGAAGCCUGAUGCAGCAACGCCGCGUGCGGGAUGACGGCCUUCGGGUUGUAAACCGCUUUCGCCUGUGACGAAGCGUGAGUGACGGUAAUGGGUAAAGAAGCACCGGCUAACUACGUG